rnacentral:rRNA from 1 species
UUAAGCGACUAAGCGUACACGGUGGAUGCCCUGGCAGUCAGAGGCGAUGAAGGACGUGCUAAUCUGCGAUAAGCGUCGGUAAGGUGAUAUGAACCGUUAUAACCGGCGAUUUCCGAAUGGGGAAACCCAGUGUGAUUCGUCACACUAUCAUUAACUGAAUCCAUAGGUUAAUGAGGCGAACCGGGGGAACUGAAACAUCUAAGUACCCCGAGGAAAAGAAAUCAACCGAGAUUCCCCCAGUAGCGGCGAGCGAACGGGGAGCAGCCCAGAGCCUGAAUCAGUGUGUGUGUUAGUGGAAGCGUCUGGAAAGGCGUGCGAUACAGGGUGACAGCCCCGUACACAAAAAUGCACAUGCUGUGAGCUCGAUGAGUAGGGCGGGACACGUGGUAUCCUGUCUGAAUAUGGGGGGACCAUCCUCCAAGGCUAAAUACUCCUGACUGACCGAUAGUGAACCAGUACCGUGAGGGAAAGGCGAAAAGAACCCCGGCGAGGGGAGUGAAAAAGAACCUGAAACCGUGUACGUACAAGCAGUGGGAGCACGCUUAGGCGUGUGACUGCGUACCUUUUGUAUAAUGGGUCAGCGACUUAUAUUCUGUAGCAAGGUUAACCGAAUAGGGGAGCCGAAGGGAAACCGAGUCUUAACUGGGCGUUAAGUUGCAGGGUAUAGACCCGAAACCCGGUGAUCUAGCCAUGGGCAGGUUGAAGGUUGGGUAACACUAACUGGAGGACCGAACCGACUAAUGUUGAAAAAUUAGCGGAUGACUUGUGGCUGGGGGUGAAAGGCCAAUCAAACCGGGAGAUAGCUGGUUCUCCCCGAAAGCUAUUUAGGUAGCGCCUCGUGAAUUCAUCUCCGGGGGUAGAGCACUGUUUCGGCAAGGGGGUCAUCCCGACUUACCAACCCGAUGCAAACUGCGAAUACCGGAGAAUGUUAUCACGGGAGACACACGGCGGGUGCUAACGUCCGUCGUGAAGAGGGAAACAACCCAGACCGCCAGCUAAGGUCCCAAAGUCAUGGUUAAGUGGGAAACGAUGUGGGAAGGCCCAGACAGCCAGGAUGUUGGCUUAGAAGCAGCCAUCAUUUAAAGAAAGCGUAAUAGCUCACUGGUCGAGUCGGCCUGCGCGGAAGAUGUAACGGGGCUAAACCAUGCACCGAAGCUGCGGCAGCGACGCUUAUGCGUUGUUGGGUAGGGGAGCGUUCUGUAAGCCUGCGAAGGUGUGCUGUGAGGCAUGCUGGAGGUAUCAGAAGUGCGAAUGCUGACAUAAGUAACGAUAAAGCGGGUGAAAAGCCCGCUCGCCGGAAGACCAAGGGUUCCUGUCCAACGUUAAUCGGGGCAGGGUGAGUCGACCCCUAAGGCGAGGCCGAAAGGCGUAGUCGAUGGGAAACAGGUUAAUAUUCCUGUACUUGGUGUUACUGCGAAGGGGGGACGGAGAAGGCUAUGUUGGCCGGGCGACGGUUGUCCCGGUUUAAGCGUGUAGGCUGGUUUUCCAGGCAAAUCCGGAAAACUAAGGCUGAGGCGUGAUGACGAGGCACUACGGUGCUGAAGCAACAAAUGCCCUGCUUCCAGGAAAAGCCUCUAAGCAUCAGGUAACAUCAAAUCGUACCCCAAACCGACACAGGUGGUCAGGUAGAGAAUACCAAGGCGCUUGAGAGAACUCGGGUGAAGGAACUAGGCAAAAUGGUGCCGUAACUUCGGGAGAAGGCACGCUGAUAUGUAGGUGAAGUCCCUCGCGGAUGGAGCUGAAAUCAGUCGAAGAUACCAGCUGGCUGCAACUGUUUAUUAAAAACACAGCACUGUGCAAACACGAAAGUGGACGUAUACGGUGUGACGCCUGCCCGGUGCCGGAAGGUUAAUUGAUGGGGUUAGCGCAAGCGAAGCUCUUGAUCGAAGCCCCGGUAAACGGCGGCCGUAACUAUAACGGUCCUAAGGUAGCGAAAUUCCUUGUCGGGUAAGUUCCGACCUGCACGAAUGGCGUAAUGAUGGCCAGGCUGUCUCCACCCGAGACUCAGUGAAAUUGAACUCGCUGUGAAGAUGCAGUGUACCCGCGGCAAGACGGAAAGACCCCGUGAACCUUUACUAUAGCUUGACACUGAACAUUGAGCCUUGAUGUGUAGGAUAGGUGGGAGGCUUUGAAGUGUGGACGCCAGUCUGCAUGGAGCCGACCUUGAAAUACCACCCUUUAAUGUUUGAUGUUCUAACGUUGACCCGUAAUCCGGGUUGCGGACAGUGUCUGGUGGGUAGUUUGACUGGGGCGGUCUCCUCCUAAAGAGUAACGGAGGAGCACGAAGGUUGGCUAAUCCUGGUCGGACAUCAGGAGGUUAGUGCAAUGGCAUAAGCCAGCUUGACUGCGAGCGUGACGGCGCGAGCAGGUGCGAAAGCAGGUCAUAGUGAUCCGGUGGUUCUGAAUGGAAGGGCCAUCGCUCAACGGAUAAAAGGUACUCCGGGGAUAACAGGCUGAUACCGCCCAAGAGUUCAUAUCGACGGCGGUGUUUGGCACCUCGAUGUCGGCUCAUCACAUCCUGGGGCUGAAGUAGGUCCCAAGGGUAUGGCUGUUCGCCAUUUAAAGUGGUACGCGAGCUGGGUUUAGAACGUCGUGAGACAGUUCGGUCCCUAUCUGCCGUGGGCGCUGGAGAACUGAGGGGGGCUGCUCCUAGUACGAGAGGACCGGAGUGGACGCAUCACUGGUGUUCGGGUUGUCAUGCCAAUGGCACUGCCCGGUAGCUAAAUGCGGAAGAGAUAAGUGCUGAAAGCAUCUAAGCACGAAACUUGCCCCGAGAUGAGUUCUCCCUGACUCCUUGAGAGUCCUGAAGGAACGUUGAAGACGACGACGUUGAUAGGCCGGGUGUGUAAGCGCAGCGAUGCGUUGAGCUAACCGGUACUAAUGAACCGUGAGGCUUAACCUU